rnacentral:tRNA from 1 species
GUGGCGGUCGGCAACGGCGCACAACUCGCGCACGAUCGACGACAACUUGGCAUGCGCCACGCCUGAAAAGCGGAAGGUCGACAGUUCGAUCCUGUCCCUGACCACCA